GGAUGUCAAUACUCAGCAAAACGAAAAUCCAAGCAGCAAGCAAACGACACCAAUACAACAGAGAUUCCAAACGGAGAUGGACGGAAGUGGACGAAAGCAGUAUGUUGCGUUUCCUUUGUCUUCUUCUUUACGUCCUUCUCCCAUAGUACUGUUCCAGCAGUACGAUUUCAGCAACCAGGCAUGCGUUUCCAUCCAUUUGGCUCGAGAUUAAGCCACGUAUCGCUAGAAGGACAUUAGAUCGAUUUGAGACGUCCGUCUCCCCUUUUGUCUUCCGUCAAUUUCAAAAAAAUUGCGUCUCCCCUAAAUGAUGAAGAAUUCGAAAUUCAAAUUUGUUCCUUUGUUCUUACCCGAUAUUACCCUCAUAUUUUACCCAAAAUCUACCCUAGAUUCCCCUUAUAAAUUCCCCCUCUUCUUCAUCUGUCUCAGGUUGGGGAAAAGUAGAGUAUACCCAUUAUUGAGUUUGAAAAAGAUUGGGAAAAAGUUGAAAAACAAAACGGUCGGAGAAUAGUUAGAAAAGCCGGAGAUAAUUCAGGGAGGGGGUAAAUUUCAUCUUUUAGGUUCCGUUUCUUUAAUAUUACAUAUAGGAAUCGAUUUGUUAUUUUUUUUAAAAAAAAGGGGCACUCAUUAGAGUAGAAGCAAAACAGAGAGAUAUAGGCCCUCAAGAAAAAUUUUGAAUUCUAUAGUAAUUGACUUAAGAGCUUCGAAUCUGGAGCUCUCAUCCUAAGAUCUCUGUUCUUUUCGACGGAAACUUCCAUUGGAGUUCCUUUCGCGUGGUGGUGGAAAGAUUUUCAACUCGUGUCUCAGUUCUGUUGCUCCAGAAGAGGUAAACUCUCCUGCGAGUAUUAGGAGCUACUGGUCACUCAAAAUAAGCCAUAAAGGCUCAAUUUCCCCUCUUAUCGAGUCAGCCCCUUUUCUGAGUUGAAGAAUCGAAGAGCAGGUUCUCAAAAUUCGAUGUACAGGUGUUCAAUAGUCCAAGAAGCUCAAUUAUCUCUUCAGCGCAUCAUAUUAAUGUAUCUCGCGCAUCAGAUUAGUGUAUCAUGUAUAAAAUGUACAUCAUAUUAGUGUAUCAUGUAUAAAAUAUAAUGUAUCUUACUUAACGAUUAAUGUAUCAACACUUAUAUUAUUGUAUCCAUUUGAGGGAUUUCUGUAAUUAUAAACGUAUAAGGAACAAAUGGUAAUUUUGUCUUAAAUGUGAUUUUUGUCCUAUGCCCUUUUGUA